GUCUUAGCCAAGCAGUUAAUGCGACAGAAUCCAAAUCUGUCUGUGCAGGUUCAAAACCUGUCAAAGAUG